GAGACGAUUUGGGCAGGGUUCCGUGCAAUUUUGAACGUCUCACCCGGUUCAGUUUGAUUUCUGUAAUCUGUUAAAACGGUUUUUGAGCGAUCCGCGUAAGUUCGGUUAAUCGGUUUUGUGUAAGCGUAACCAAUUUUGUUCAAUUUCGGGUGCGAAGUUCGUUUGUCCAGGAUUGGGACUAGGGUUGCUUUUGUUAGAGUGUUAUUGUUUUUGUUAUUCGAUUGAUUACGAAUUCCCAGCUGUCGUGUGACUUAUUCAGACAAAGUGACUCCCGAUCGAUUCCUCGCUAAGCCGAAUUUCUAAGAACGGGGGCAGAGAAGGCAGUUAUCGUUGGUGCGAACCAGAUUGUAUGUACUGUCAUACCAGGUGAAGUUCGUUGUAAUUUAGUUCCAUUUGAGUGAAAAUAAGUGUGUCACUGGGUAGAUCCCUAUUGCAAUUUAAAUAUUUAAGAGCUAAACGUCUCAUCAUUAUUGAAUACGGAGAAAACGAAAAAAGUGUGAAGGAAGUCGAGGCAGUUGCUUGCAACCGUAAAGAUUUAAAGCCCCAUUAAGUGGUGUAGCGAUCGGAAGCGAAGAAAGUGCAAGUGCAACACCGGAAGGAGCCGAUUAAAAGAAGCAGACUGCAGGAUGACUUCCGCCCAAGACAGGAGAGCAUCCUUCGCUCGGAGGGCUGAGAGUUUGGUCGAGAGGGUGAGAAUACUGAACAAAAUA